GUCUCCCUUCGGAGACAUCUGAUAAAAUUGGAACGAUACAGAGAAGAUUAGCAUAGCCUAUGCGCAAUAAUGACACACACAAGUUGUUUUGGUGUGUAAUUAUU